rnacentral:rRNA from 1 species
AGCAAUACAGGAAAGCGGCGGAAGGGAGAGGACAACAUGGGAAACUGCCCUGGGGACGAGGAUAGCGUCGGGAAACUGACGGUAAUACUCGAUAAUGUUUGCGGACCAAAGGUGUGAUUCCGCCCCAGGAUGUGCCCAUGCCCCAUUAGCUAGUUGGCGGUGUAAUGGACCACCAAGGCUAUGAUGGGUAGCUGGUGUGAGAGCACGACCAGCCUCACUGGCACUGAGACACUGGCCAGACACCUACGGGUGGCUGCAGUCGAGAAUCUUCGGCAAUGGACGAAAGUCUGACCGAGCGACGCCGCGUGCGGGAUGAAGGCCUUCGGGUUGUAAACCGCUGUCGAGGGGAAUCAAAUGCAAGGGGGUUCUCCCCCCUGCUUGAGAGAACCCUGGAGGAAGGGGAGGCUAAGCUCGUGCCAGCAGCCGCGGUAAGACGAGCUCCCCAAACGUUAUUCGGUAUCACUGGGCUUAAAGAGUUCGUAGGCGGCGAAGUAGGUGAGGUGUGAA